GGUGAAUGCUGGCGGCGUGGAUGAGGCAUGCAAGUCGAGUGGGUUUAGACCCACGGCAGACGAGGUAGGAACACGUAGGUACGUACCCCAAAGUCAGGGAUAACCCGGCGAAAGUCGGAAUAAUACUUGAUGGUCUCUUCGGAGUAAAGAUUUAUCGCUUUGGGAACGGCCUGCGGUCUAUCAGCUUGUUGGUAAGGUAACGGCUUACCAAGGCUACGACGGAUAGGGGAGGUGAGAGCCUGACCCCCACCGAUGGAACUGCGACACGGUCCAUACUCCUACGGGAGGCUGCAGUCGAGAAUCUUCCGCAAUGGGCGAAAGCCUGACGGAGCGACGCCGCGUGGUGGAUGAAGUCCUUAGGGACGUAAACACCUUUUAUGAGGGACGAAGUUUAUUGACGGUACCUCAUGAAUAAGGGGCUCCCAAUUCUGUG
rnacentral:rRNA from 1 species